ensembl:lncRNA
GAGAGAGUGCGUAUGUGAGAGUGCGAGGGGACCUUCACACGGGGAGCACCGUGACUCCUCGCAGGACGCUUGCCACCUCUCCCCUUGCAUCUUGCCUGCAUGCUUACCAGGCAGCUCGCGCAGCUCUCGCUCUCUUAGCACAUUUGCUUCUCUGAACACUCUCUCUCUUUUGUGCAAGUGCACACACACGCACACACACACAGACACACGCGCGCAUGUGCACACACACACACGCACAGACAGACACAGACUCUCACACACAACCUGCCCGACUGGCUCCCUGCUUUGCUCUCUGCAGCCGGCAUCGCUGAGACGAGAGGGAAAUGGGAGAAAGAAGCAGAGCUGGAGGACGCUGCUACGAGAGUUGCAUUCGCCGCAAAGAUGUUUUUCUUAGUCGCUCCAACAGACAGGAAUCUACUGGCAAGAAGAAAGGCUCAGUCUUCCCCAGGAGAGAGGAGUACAAAGCCCCCAGUCUGCACACAGCAGAUGCAGAAAGCCAGUCCAUCUGCCACCAACUCAAAGUGUCACAUGGGCCUGAGAGAUUUAAUACAAGAGACAUUUUUUUAUGUGCCUACAUAAGUUUGUGCGAUAUACACAAAACCAAAUAAAAACACAUGUAAAUCUGGCUGAGAUGUAGCUCAAAAACUUCGAAAAGACGCACACACACAUGUCCUAGCACACGGGCAUCUGAUCAUGAAGAAGUGGAGGCACUAUAAGAACUUUUACGUUUUAGAGAAACGCACCAAGACCAACUAUGACAGAUUUAUUUAGGGGAAGAUGUACCCCCUAGCGCAGGGUAAACACCACUUGAACUCACAGCCCUGAGUGGUGCGCUGGCAUGAUUUAACAGGCUCUGAAUAGUACAUUAUCUCCCUGGCUCCGCUGAAGCAUAUUUCAGCCGUAUGAUAUCAUUAUUAAGAGACCAACACAGACCAAGGGAUGGAGCAUUUUCGUGUCAACUGUCUGAGCUCUGAGGCAGAGAGGGUAAACACCAAACAAUCAUGGGAGACGGAGUGAGACAGUGGGAGUUGAAGCGAGUGGGGGGAAAGACAGAAAGGGAGGUGACAAGAGGGCAAAUGCAAGCAAGAAUGAAAAAAAAAAAAGAAAAAGUGACAGUGAGUGGCAAUGAGGGCUAACAUGAAACAACAGCUGUUAACUGCUUUAAGCCUCCACAUUAUGCCGAUGAUUUAUUCCAUUCUCUUUCAGUACUGUGGAGAAUGCUCCUUUAGCCCCUUUAACAAACUACUCAGAGCUGCUCACUGGAAAAGACAAACAGGAGGCCCCUGGCGUUAGAAACAUUCACUUCACUAGGGGGAAUGCUAUGCCUAUUUCUACACAUCUGUGACAAUUGCGUGCCUCCUCCCUUCAGGUAUUUAUUCCCCAUGUCUCUUCUUCCAGCACUGCCAAGGUCAACAGAGACAAACAGGCCCACCAGCGUCUCGAUGUGGUGGCAGCAGAACAGUGAGAGGAGAGAAAGAGAGAAAGAGGGGGCUAGACAUGUGUAGUGGGUACAAUGGGGAGGGGUGACGGUGGCAGCAGCUGGUUACCAACCCUGGCAGGAGCCGCAGCAGUGGGGGGAGCCGUGAUCUGAGAUGCCGUGCUUCGCCGUGACAACGAUGGCAACGGUUAGAUGUUCUUUCCCAUCUCCUCACACUGCUAUCAUUUCCACAGCCACCCCAACACACACACACACACACAACUAACACACUAAUAUUAAUUUUCAAUUAAAACCAUGAAGUGGAUUGCCUCUGGGGCAUUAGACAAAGUCAAGCAACCAUCACAGUGGUUUCUCUCGUCAUUUCUGCCACAUUCCCUUCAGUGGUAGCAGGCCACCACAAAGUACAAGCACUGCCGCAAGGUUUGUCAGUCAGUGGCAACACAGUACAGAGAUGUGAAUCACUGCUUCUUAACCCUCUAACAAACAUUAGGAUAAAACUGCAUGCUCAAACAGCAGAAUUUUCUAAAUAAAACAGUGAACCACACAUGACUUCUUACACACGUGGAAUCAGCACAGGAGACAAAGAGAAGCGGAGGAAAAGAUUUUGCGGCUUUCCUGCAAUUCUAAGUGUUGUAUUUAUUGGAGCUCAAGUGCAUCAAUGCUGUUCACUGGGAAGUUAUCCAUUUGACUUCACUCCGCCUUCAUCCAUUCUCACAUUUAAGUGCCAGUCACAGAAAAAAAAAAAAAAAAAAAAAAAAGUAAUUUCACCAUCUGCUCAAAUAUGCUCAACUGCAACAACUCCCACACAGUGAUAACCAGUGUUUCUAAAGAGCAGAACACCACACGUGAAACAUAGCACACACAUCAGCACCAUUCAUUAGCUGUCACACAAGCACAAUUCACGAGCCACUUAGUGCUGCCCUCAAAUAAAUAAAUAAAUAAGUGAAAGAGCCAAAUAAGGCAUAAUGAGGGGGUAGGGCUCUUUUUAGUCCUGGGUAAUGCUGAUCACACGAUACGUUGCUUAUGGCCAGAGAGCAGAGACCAUUACGGACCGGUGAUUAUAUAAGUGGUUGGAAGGCAGCACCGUUUUAAUAUACUGUACUUAAGCGCCAGGGUAUCCAUGGCAACUUGCCUUGCACCGUGCAUUCAGAAAAUCCCUAAUGAAAUGCCUAUUAAGUGGCUGAUAAUGACAGUGUCCAAAUAUAUUUGCAUAUGUAUUUCACUGCCAUAAAAAAUGAAGAACAAAAAAAAAUAAUAAUAAAAAAUACACCAAGGGAACGUGAUUACUGCAAUCACAAUGAUGAAUAUGUUGACUUUGUUGUUAUUUGUUUUGUUGAAAAAAAAAAUAAAUAAAAAUUCUUGGAAUAUUUAUUGUAACAUUUUCUACUUUGAUCUACAAUAUUACUAAAAUGUUUAUGCGUGUUGGUUUUAAUAAAACUUAUACAAAUUAAAAGAAAGUUGUGACGGGUGUGAAUUGAGGCCUCAUUGCCUUCCUGUCGGAGUCUCCACAUGUGACUUCCAUUUGCGACUUUGGCUGAGAGCCCAACAGGACAUCCCUGAGAGAGUGUUUGCUUGACUCAAUAUCAACAGCGCGAGUAAGCAGCG